rnacentral:sRNA from 1 species
UUUUUAUUUCAUUUUUUUGGUUUACAAGUUGUACAAGAGAAAUAAAUAAACUAAUAAAUACUUGUACUAGGAUUUAUUUACGUAGAGAAGAAAAUAAUAAAAAUAAUUAAGGGGGAGACAAAGGGCAGUGAUGAUUAUGAAAAUACAGAGAGCAAGUGUAGUAGAAAGCUGACAUUAGUAUACACGUAAAGCUCUGUGAAUGUACAUGGUCUACUGUUAGGCUUAGGCCUGCUUCGUUCAGCUAGUUUCUACUGUUUUCGUAU